rnacentral:rRNA from 1 species
AUUGAACGCUGGCGGAAUGCUUUACACAUGCAAGUCGAGCGGCAGCGCGGGGCAACCUGGCGGCGAGCGGCGAACGGGUGAGUAAUGCAUCGGAACAUGUCCAUGUCGUGGGGGAUAGCCCGGCGAAAGCCGGAUUAAUACCGCAUACGCACGAGAGGGGAAAGUGGGGGACCGCAAGGCCUCACGCGAUUGGGUUGGCCGAUGUCCGAUUAGCUAGUGGGUGGGGUAAAGGCCUACGAAGGCGAUGAUCGGUAGCUGGUCUGAGAGGAUGAUCAGCCACGCUGGGACUGAGGCACGGCCCAGACUCCUACGGGAGCCAGAGGGGGGGAAUUUGGGACAAUGGGGGCAACCCUGAGCCAGCCAGCCCGGGUUAGUGAAGAAGGCCUUCGGGUUGUAAAGCUCUUUUGUCCGGAACGAAACGGUUACGGUGAAUACCCGUGACUACUGACGGUACCGGAAGAAUAAGCACCGGCUAACUACGUGCCAGCCGCCGCCGUAA